UACGUAGGGUGCAAGCGUUAAUCGGAAUUACUGGGCGUAAAGCGUGCGCAGGCGGCUUUGCAAGACAGAUGUGAAAUCCCCGGGCUUAACCUGGGAACUCAUUUGUGACUGCAUGGCUGGAGUGCGGCAGAGGGGGAUGGAAUUCCGCGUGUAGCAGUGAAAUGCGUAGAUAUGCGGAGGAACACCGAUGGCGAAGGCAAUCCCCUGGGCCUGCACUGACGCUCAUGCACGAAAGCGUGG
rnacentral:rRNA from 1 species